rnacentral:pre_miRNA from 1 species
CUAAUACUCCCUCCGUCCCAAAUUACUUGUCUUAGAUUUAUCUAGAUACGGAUGUAUCUAACACUAAAACAUGUCUAGAUACAUCCAUAUCUAGACAAAUUUAAGACAAGUAAUUUAGGACGGAGGGAGUAGCAC